rnacentral:lncRNA from 1 species
AUCUUUAUGUGGUGUUUGCAGCCAAACAGCCUGACCCAGAAGCAGGAGACGGGGGAGGGGAAACGCCAGCCAGAUCGCCUCCCUCGCCUCCCCCAGCUCCCGCCCGCCCUGCAAACCAGGCACCCCUCGCAGGUGUGUCACCAGGAAAGUGGGCUCAGAGAGAUUAGCUGGAGGGGCCCUCCAGCCUGUGUCUACCCCCCCGGGGUGCAGCUGUUUUGUUUCCAGCAGCUCCUCGCUCUCAAGGUCGACAGCCACCUCCGAGGAAAUCUCCACUCAGAAGAGCUCAUUUGGCUAUAAUGAGGCUUCUUUCAGAAGCCGCUGACCCCAGAGAAAGCCCUGCACUCAAGCUGCCCCUUUCCCUUUGCUGGGUCUCAUCACCUCUCUCCUCUGCACCUCGAAGAGAAAAAAAAUCCAAUAAAAGAGAUUAAGACCAGACAUAUGGAAGAGCAAAGGGCUGAAGCCGUAUCUUGCCUCCUCUUCUUCAUUCCUAUAGAUGAGAACACGGGGACUCUGAGAGGGAUCAGAACAGGGCCCCAGUGCCUCAAGUCCUCUGCCUAGCUGCCCGAUGGCCCUGGCCACAGAGGGACUUCGCAGGCCAUGAAAGGAGCCCCUCCCGGGACCAGCCUCGGCUCAGCAACAAGUCUGACAUUUUCCCCAGAAGUGCCCCAAGGCCCCUUGGGAAGAAGCUACAAAGUCAAGAAUAAACCGUGAACUUGGGGAUUGCUCACACUCUUACUAUUUUCUUAACAAACCAACUGGAUCUUAUUAAGGGAGGCUUCUGAACAGGAGACUCCUGUCUAGAGAACCUUCCUGUCACCCGUUAAAUAUGCCUGAUUUCACACGCUGUCGUGUAGCUGUCCCUCCGGCUGGCUCACCACUGAUGAGGAGUAAAUGAUAUUGCAUCCUGGCCCCUUUCUUAGCACACAGGUAUUUUCUGCAGGAAAUACCAGGGAACCUGCUGUCGUUCGUCCAACAUUGGCAAUCUCGCUAUUUGGUAUCUUCAGCAGACUUUCAAUUUAUCUGAAGCACAGACCUGGUUGUUUCAGGCAAUGCCAUCUGUCUGAUGCAGGCACGACGUUUUGUCUCACCUGCGUCCUGCCCUGUCUCCAGUCCUCAGCUUCCCCAACCGCACCAUGAGAAUGGAUGAGAGUCUCCCAGGGCACAUCUAGGGCUCAGCUUUGCUGUUGUUCAGACUCGCUCUC